CAUAACGCUGGGCGAUAUACAGGGUACCGGGCAAAGGCUCCAGCGCGCCCCCUCGACCUGAAUAGCGCAGCGAGCCGCCGCGACAGCUCGUCAUAACCCGGAGCGUUAUACAGCUUGCGGGGCUCCUCGCACGCCGGCCCCGGAAACAGGCUGUUUCAUAAGGCGGCCGUAAGCAACCCACAUAACCGUAAUGGCAAUGCCGAGCGACAGCGCGAGUCCCGGCGGCCCAGGAUCGAGCAUAAAGCAUAACGCGCCCCGCGAGCCCCCUGCAUAACGCCGGGCCGUAUGCGGGGUGCGGGGCUUCAACUCGGCGCAGCCCCGGGCCGGGCAUAGGGGCGUGAGGGGCGGGCGGCCCGCAUCGCAUCGGUGCCCAGCCAGGGGGCACGGGGGGCGGCUGCGGCCUCACAGAGGGGGAGAGAACGGGAAGGGGAAGGGGCUGCUAUGAGGAGGGGCUGGAACCAGCCUUCGGAACCGCCUCGUCCUCCCCACAGCCCGGGUGCGGGCCCAAAGGCUGUGAGCAGGCCCGGCCCACCCGCAGGCUCCUCCAACACAUCGGACCCACUGUGUACUACCACACAUUGCAGGGGAAUGCAGUGAAUCCCAAGUAUCUGACAGCAGAGCAGUGUGGAAGAAGAGGCAGGAGAGCCCUUCCCAAGUACCUGUAGACAGCCGUGCUUAAGUUAAGUACUAUUCAGUUACUUGAAACAGAGCCAUCAGCCCCAGAACACACAGUACACACUAAGAUGUGCAUAGGUAUUGCUGAGCAAGGAGAAAGCACUCCUGCUUGUGUGUGCACUCACAGCUUAGCUGGGACAUCAGGCUUCAGCCCUUUGUUAGUCACACUCAGAGGUUACUGUAGCCCUGCCAUUGGGAGCUGUGCUCUUUGCAGGCCAUCCUGUGCUGCCUGGUACCACUGUGGGUCAGGAGUCAAGUGUGGAGCCACAGGAGGUUCUCCCUAUGAAGCUGUGCUCCCUUCAAACAGCACUGGUCCAGUUCUGUUCUGUGGUUAAUUCUCAACACUGGGCCAUUGGCCUCCAGGGUGGGACAUGGACAGCACGUGCAGAUUGACAUGGGCAGCACAUGGAGAUUACAAGAGAAAACAGUGCAGCCCAUCAGUAUCUUUCUUCAAGGCUCCACUUGUGCUCCACUUUCUCAGCAGCACUGCCACAGCUGCUGGGUCAAGGACCCUUCUGUGCAAUAGAAAUGCAUUGUCUGUUGGGUGCCUGCUUGGAUACCAACAGACAGCAGUAUCUGAAACCCACAGUCAAAAGAAAUGCAGGCACAGUUCCACUCCAGUGACCAGCUCUGGAAAAUAACCAGUGUGACACCUGCACCUCUCUAAUGUGCUACUUGCUGCCUGUGGCUGCUUCUUGUGCUGCCUAUCCAAAGCAUCCCAAAGACCACGCAAGGCUUCUUCCUGCCACAGAGUGCUGGGGGAGUUGAGGCUGCUGCAGACAGUAAUGCUAUAACUGCUACAAGUACAGCAUCACCAGAGCUGUGUGAGGUGGGGCAGCCAGGCUGGAGGGCUGAGGGUCACCAAGGAGCUUAAGACAGGGCCCAGGGGAUCAAAAGAGCACCUGAGAACAGCCUGUCUGGUGUUAAAUAUACUCAGAAACAAGAGAAAGUAUUUGUAUAGUCAGUUUGAAAUGGCCAGUCUCUGCAUUUCUGCAGUGCUGUAGCUUGUUGCAUACAAGUUAUCAUUAACAUUGAGCAUGGAAACAAUGAUUAAGCAGCACUACUGACCAAAGCCAGCUUUAAUGCUGCCCCACAUGUUAAAGGAGGGGCAGAGGAAAGGAAUUUCCACCAGCACGUCCUGCUGUGCUACAAUGCCCUUCAGGCAGCUGUGUUAGAGAAGCCAUUCCCCGCUACUGGUGACAUUGCCAGGUCAGAGCCAGGCUCACAUCCCAACCACUGCAAAAAGACCACAACAACUCAACAUCAGCCCCUGGCUUUAUUUGUGUUACAGGCUCGGGGCCGCAGCAGCCAAUACUGUGUUACUGAGGUCGAGUCUUCAAACGUUGUAUCCAAUCAGGCCUCGUUUGCCUAUGAUCUCACCAAUGUAAAACCACAUCAGCACCUCUGUGGCCACCAAACCGUUCCUCAGCGCUUCCUGAAAGAAAAAAAAGCCACAAUUUAGAAUAUUUGCUCCUGCAACAGCUUCCUUUCUUGCUCUUGUCUUCACACAGCAUGCAUGACUAGCAAAGCAGUCAUCCGAUGGGCAAGACAACAGCUUAAGCCAAAACCAGAUGUGCAGGUGAGCAUUCACCAUGUUCAUCCAGCCCUCAACGGGCCACGCUGUUAAAAUGGUUCUAAACCAUUAAAUGCUGCAUUGGCUGAUGUUCUAUUUCAGAAGUGAUCUUAAAGGGCUCUAAAUCCAAACCUGCAGGAAACGAAUUGAAUUUCAGGGCCAAGCGAUGCACCAAACAGGUGACACAGCUUGACUGGGCAAAUCCAUUCCCUCCUCUCUCCACUUGAGCAGUGAGCCCAGAGAACACAGCACAGCUCUGCUAUAGUUGUAGAAGAGCUGAAACAAUGCUGAAACAUUAAAACACCUUCAACUCUUGACCCAUAAAUGCUCUGAGCUUCAAAGGCAGCUGACGGCAGCUCAGUUCUUCAUGGUGUACAAGGAAAGUAUGUCAAGUUACAAUGCUGGUGGUGAAGCUGUGCCUUGAAAAUACCACCCUGAUGCUGAUUUUGCCUGUGGCUCACAGACUGCAACUGCCAGAGCCUGGAGAGACUGCAGGACUCUUCCAUCCUGGGAGGUGAAAGGCAGCAAUAAAGCCUUAAAAACAUGAGAGUGCUGAGGCAAUGGGAUGAAAGAAACACAGGGAAAGGUCCAUGGGUAGAUGGUUGAGAAAAGUUAAUGAUCCAAGGGUUGCAGCAGAAACCAACACUGUGAAAAUAAGCUGACUUCAUAAUGGCUGAAUAAAAUGGUCACAAGGAAUAACACGA